UUUAUUUAAAAAAAAAAAAAAGAAGAAGUUUUGUUGGAACAUGGCCACGUUCGUUUGUUUACGCGCUGUCUGUGGCAGCUUUCACGUCGCAGCGGCUGAGUCGAGCAGAUGCAACAGAAACCAUAUGGCCCGCAGAGCUCAAAAUAUUUGCUGGAAAAGUUUGCCAGCCUCCAGCACAGAGCAGCGUAGAGGUACGGCGGGAGCCUGUGCAACGCCGAGUUUUCUAGUAGCCAUGUCGGCCAGCGUGAAAAGACACAGGUGAAGUUUGUUUUAAUGGUACAUUGUAUUUCACCCAAUCCAAAAUAUGUUCAUUGCAACAUUUAACCAAUCUAAAUAUGCCGGAGAUGUUUGGCAUGCUUGUUUUUCAUGCUGCAUCUGUGAAAUUCACUGUGUGUUUUCCAUUCACGGCUUAAUGCGUAUCAGACCAGCCAGAUUUCAAAUGCUCAGUAGCCAUGUGGGGCUGGUGGCUGCCCUAGAUGGGCAGCAGAUCUUUCUGGAAGGAAUGAGGUGAGCUCCACCUGGGGCAACUGGGAAGGAAGCUCAGGGGAAUUCGGCUCGUUGCUGGGUAUUGAUGGCACUGAAACCUCCCGCAGGGGAGUUUGUGGGCAGGACCAUCCCAAUGGGAAAGGGCAGCUUAUAUGGAGAGACAAAGAGUGAAGUGGGUUCAGGGCGGCUUCCUGGACUGCCCAGUUCGCAGAGCGUGAGGGAAAGAAUGACGAUGGGGAUGGUUCUGAGUCUAGGCUGAGAAAUGUGCCGUUUCUCAGUGGGUAAUAGGGAGCCAGGGAAGGUCUUAGAGGAAGGCAGUGACAUGAUCAGCUCUGCAGGUAAGGAGGGUAUGAAUCUGGGAUGGAAAGGAGGCUACAGACCAGGCAACAGUCAGGACUGGGCAGAGAUGAUGGGCCUGUUCCAGUGGGCAGUGAGAAUAAGGUGGGGUGAAUGGAGGAGAUUUUGCCCAAGAGGUGUGCCCCAGGACAUGCUAACAGACGGGUCACAGAGAAGGAGGGUCCCUGUGGAAUCAAUGGUUUCCGGCUUGAGGUUGGUGCUGGUGUGUGAUGAGUGGGUUACCCCUCGUGGCUGGAGCGCUGACCACAUCACCCCUGCCCUUGUGAGCCCCCAGGUGCUGGCUGCUUGGUGCAGAAAGGCCUCCCCUCUUGCUCACUGGCCCAGGGUCUUCCUGUGGGCACAAGGCAGGCUGCACGCCCCAGCAGAGGACCCUUGGGUCCUGCCCACUCCUCCAGCCUCCUUUCGGGUCUGUUGGGCUGGACCAGGGCAAGUCCCCCCAGACAUGUGUGAACAUCUGGCUCUGCCCUUCUGGGCACUGAACACCGUCACCUCAUGUCCUGCAUUAGCAUCUGGUCUGAGCCCGGCUGGUGCCGAGGCAGUCCCUCCUGGAUCCUGCCAUCCUGAGUAA
rnacentral:lncRNA from 1 species